UACGAAGGGGGCUAGCGUUGCUCGGAAUGACUGGGCGUAAAGGGCGCGUAGGCGGCUUGCACCGUCAGAUGUGAAAUUCCUGGGCUUAACCUGGGGGCUGCAUUUGAUACGUGUGGGCUUGAGUGCGGAAGAGGGUCGUGGAAUUCCCAGUGUAGAGGUGUAAUUCGUAGAUAUUGGGAAGAACACCGGUGGCGAAGGCGGCGACCUGGUCCGUGACUGACGCUGAGGCUCGAAAGCGUGGGGAGCAAACAGG
rnacentral:rRNA from 1 species